GAUGAACGCUGACAGAAUGCUUAACACAUGCAAGUCGAUGGGGAAGUGGUGCUUGCACCAUGGCAACCAUGGCGGACGGGUGAGUAACGCGUAAGGGACUUACCUGCAGGACUGGGAUAACAGGGGGAAACUCCUGACAAGACCGGAUAAUGUCAUGGAGCUGCAUGGCUUUAUGAUGAAAGGAGACGCCUGCGGAGAGCCUUGCGUCCUAUUAGCUAGUUGGUGAGGUAAUGGCUCACCAAGGCGAAGAUAGGUAGCCGGCCUGAGAGGGUGGACGGCCACAAGGGGACUGAGAUACGGCCGUUACUACUACGGGGGGCAGCAGUGGGGAAUAUUGGACAAUGGGGGCAACCCAGAUCCAGCAAUUCUGUGUGCACGAAGAAGGUUUUCGGAUUGUAAAGUGCUUUCAGCAGGGAAGAAGUAAGUGACGGUACCUGCAGAAGAAGCGACGGCUAAAUACGUG
rnacentral:rRNA from 1 species